rnacentral:lncRNA from 1 species
AUUUGUUCAAAGAGAAAACUCUUAAGCCCUGCUGCAUAAUCUCUGACAUGUGUUUUCCUUGGACGGUGGAUACAGCUGCCAAGUUCAAUGUUCCAAGGAUUAUUUUCCAUGGAUUUUCUUGCUUCUGUCUCUUCUGUCAUCACCUCUUGGGUGUUUCAAAGGUUCACGAGAAUGUUACUUCUGAUUCAGAGUACUUUAAUAUACCUGGAUUGCCUGAUCACAUUGAAUUUACUAAAGUUCAAUUACUAAUAUCCAAGCGGGAUGAUGACCGUAAAGAGCUUCGAGAGCAAAUUUUGGCGGCCGAUAAGAAAACAUACGGCGCGAUUAUAAAUACCUUCGAAGAGCUAGAGUCGCCAUUUAUUGAAAACUACAAAAAAGCCAAACAAGGAAAAGUUUGGUGCAUCGGCCCUGCUUCGCUGUGCAACAAAGAGCCCAUAGACAAGGCAGAGAGAGGUAAAACAGCAUCAAUUGAUGUUCCUGAAUGCUUAACAUGGCUUGAUUCACAGCAGCCAAGCUCAGUAGUCUAUGUUUGUCUUGGAAGCAUCUGUAACUUGCCAUCUUCACAACUUAUAGAGCUCGGUUUAGGCCUUGAAGCAUCUAACAAACCGUUUGUUUGGGUUAUCAGGGGAGGGAGUAAAUUAGAAGCAUUAGAGAAGUGGCUUGUACAAGAAAAUUUUGAAGAAAGGAUUAAAGGAAGAGGCCUUUUGAUUCGGGGUUGGGCACCACAAGUAUUGAUAUUAUCACACCCUGCAGUCGGAGGGUUCUUAACGCAUUGCGGCUGGAAUUCAUCUCUGGAAGGGAUAUCAGCUGGGGUUCAAAUGCUUACAUGGCCACUCUUUGCAGACCAAUUUUGCAAUGAGAAGUUGAUUGUGAAUGUUUUAAGGAUUGGUGUGAGUGUUGGAGUGGAAGUUCCAAUGAAUUUUGGAGAAGAAGAGAAGAUUGGAGUAUUGGUGAAUAAGGCAGAUGUCAAAACGGCUAUAAACAUACUGAUGGAUGAUGGAGAAGAAAGAAAUGCGAGAAGAAGAAGUGCCAGAGAGUUUGGAGAGUUGGCUAAAAGAGCUAUAGAUGAAGGUGGAUCUUCCUAUAACAACGUCGAAUUAUUUAUGCAGGAUAUCAUGCAACAGCCAAGCUCAGAAGGGAUUUAAAUAUUGUUCUUUCUCAGAACUUCGGUUUUUUCAAAUUUGUAUUCGCUAAUAUUGUUUUAUAUGGAAAUUAUUGCUUUCAAUAGUUGUGUAUUACCAAGAUGAGUUUACAGUAAUGUUAAAUCUUCAAUAACAUUUAUAACAGAACAGUAAAUAAUUUGAUAUAAUAUGAAUAUUAUAUUGGUCCGAUUUUGGUUAAGCCCACGACACUAUGAGAGCUUCCCUUCCUACAGGUGUUUUCCGGCGAUAGUGGAGGCUGAGUUGUCUUGAAACAAUUUUUUGGGGGACAGUGACGGUUGCGAUGAACUAAAAUUAAAGAGAACGGCCGUUAGAGGCAACACCAGUAGUUGCCGACAACGGCACUCCGACAAUCAAAUCAGUUGGGGGUUGAAAGAAAUUUUGGAUUUCAGAUAAAUCCUAAAAUAGAGAAAAUUUAAUUGUUUGUAUGAGUAAGAGAACUUACUUCCUUUGUGAGGCUGACGUCCUUAUAAGGUGUAGUGCCCCUGAGGGCAUAUUUGUGUAUUUUUUGAACACAUGGCGGACUGGUAUUGAUUGUUCCAUUCUCAAGUGGGAAUUUAAGAGUAAUUUACCUUUCUUGUUGAGGCCUUUAGGUUUUUUAGACUGGACAAUUGCCCUUUGAGGGAUUGUCCUUUCUAGCAAUGUGUCCCCAAUCGUAAUUGACUCAUUUUAAAUGAACCAAUUAGAUUGAGUGACAUUUGAUUUCACUGGAUAUGAGGCAGGUAACUAUGUCGGUGGUCCCCCCUUCCUUAUAUUUGACUUUUUUUUUUUGAAACAUCAGUUGGUUACUAUAUUACACAGAGAUAUAUACAACUGCUAUGACAGCAGGUCAUUACACUGAUAUUUACAAUCAGGAGUAAUGAUACAGCCACAAACUCUUGUACAAACUUAUUUUGUACAAACUGAUGUGGCAUGAUAAGAUUGGUUGAAUUAAAUAUCACUUGGCCCACAUGAUUUAUUUUUAUUAAUUUAUAUUUUCAUUCAACCAAUGAAUUAAUGCCACGUCAGAAAGACGUUAUAAGAAGUCUCCACACAAUUAUGUUUAAUUGAGGGAGGUUGAGUCCGUGAGGACUCGAACCAUUGCCCUCAUAGUCAUGCUUAACUUUGAGGGCAAUGGUUCACCACUAGGCUACAAGCCCAAGUGGCCCUUAUAUUUGACUUUGUUAGCCUGUAGUGAGAUAUUUUAAAGGCGUCCCUAGUAAGGACCGUGUUGUGAUAAUGUGUCUUGGCACUAUUGGCGAAGUUGUCGCUAUUUUGGUAGUCUCAAGCUACCAUGUGGCAUGUUUGAUACAUUGGUUAAAAAUAGUUUUGUAAUGGAAAUAUUUGAAUCACAAUUCUCAUACAGCAUAUAAAAUUACUAUAAUUUAGAAAUCGUACCAUUGUUUUUUCAUAUAAGUAAUUUAGGCUCUCAAGUCACGAUCCGUCACCAUUAAUCUUAUUAGAUCACGAUAUUCACCAACGAUCUUCUAGAUUAUUAUUGAAGUUUAAUCUACAUUUAAAGUGUGGGCAACUUUAUCAUUACUAAAAGUAACUGGCAAUAGAAAAAUCAUUCUCUCAAAGCUAGAAAGAAAAAUUAUUUCCUAUGUUUUGUUUAUUGUGGGUCCUCUAUUCUUUUGUGAAAGAACAAGUCUUUUUAUAUCUCCUUUUGGUGGAAACCAAAGGCUCUAUAUUUAUCUAUUUUUUAAUUUUAUUAAAUCGAAAAUAUUUGAUAUAAAUUAAAACAUAAGAUAAAAACCAAAGGCUGCAUUACACUAAGUUCUUGUUAUAGGGGCCUACCUUGUAAAAUAACACAAGACUCCUUACGCACAAGCAUAUUAAAUUGAGUCUCCCACCAAAUAGUAUUUUUAGGCUUUUAACCCAAAUACCUAGUUAUCUCACUUAUCAAUCUAGUAACGGUACAAUCAAUUAAAUGAGCUAACUCGGGGACCAUAUAGGUACAUACAGUAAUGGCUCUAAUAAUUGGCCUGUAAUUAAAUUGGUCCAAUUAUUUAAUUCCAAAUCUAUUUCACUAAAAUAUUGAAAUUGACCUCCAUAAUUGUAUGCUAUCUAGAAUAGUGUUCUCACAUAAUAAUUUGAUUCAUACUAUAUUGAUUUUUUUUUCUAAACAAUCUUUUGUACCACAUUGUUAAUUAAAUUAGUAUCUCAAUAGUCCAAUCAAUUUAAUUACAUCUUAUUCUUUGACACCUACUGGUUUCCCUUAAUGUUAUUUUCAAUGUACUAAUUAUGUUAACACACUCUGACCAAAGAAUUAUAUGAUAAAGUACUGAAAACUCAUCAAGUGAUAUUUUGUACAAACUCUAUAUUGUUAAUCUAUAAUUUCACUGCUCAUAAUUGCUUCCACCAAGAUAUCGAGUAAUGUUGAUGACAAAUGUGUGUCACACCCAUUAGUAACUCAAAUGAAAUGACUAUCAGAAACAUUAAAUUAUAAUUAACUCAAGAUUUAGAUUGUAAUAAAAUCAAUGUCUAUGAGAUUUAAUAAGUUUGACAGUCAUUUCAGGGUUAAUUAAAUCUCAUAUGUGAUCCAGUUUAAUGUAGUCAAACUAAUUCAGUAAAUUCAUACAUGAUUAAGACAAAUCAUUCAAUGAAUUUACUACAGUCUAAAUAUAAAUAGAUCACUAAACUCAGUUUAUUAACUAAAAACUCAGUUUAUUUAAUUAUAAAAUAACUCGUAUUUAUGUCUUUUAUGAAUCCAUAUGAUGAUUGCAUAAAUACAAAUAAUAUGAUUAAAUAGACUUUAUUCAAAAUAUUUAUGCAAUAAAGAUGUUUGAAAAAUAUCUCAAAUAUUUUAUUAAUUAGAAAAUGUAUUUUAUAUAUAAAUAAAUUAAUAUGCUUUAAAGAGCACAUAAUCCCAACAUGAUAUGUUGUAAGAACCAUUUUCUAUAUAUGUUGUAAGAACCAUUUUCUAUACUUCUCAGGUGAUUUGAGUGGCUGAAGCUAAUUUUCGAAGAUCUUUCCAUUUUGCCCUUCCCUUCCACUCCAUCCUUUCAAGGACUUAGAAGUCAUGAGCAAUAUCCCCUCACGCGUCAUGCCCCAAAUACUCUUUGUUCAAAUUUUAUUACCCAUUUUCUGUAAUUCUCUGGCGAUUUGGGUGGUUGAAACUAAUUUUCUAGGACCUUUCCACUUUGCCCUCCCCUCUUCUACUCCUUCAUCCUUUCGAGGGCUUAAAAGUCAUGUGCGAUAACCCCUCAUGCGUCAUGUCCCAAGUACUCCUCAUUCAAAUUUUACUACCUCUAUAUAUUUAUAUAUAAGAGAUAAAAUUCUUUUGGAGUUGUGGAUUACCUCAUGAGCUUGAGUUUUAAACAUUGUUCACGGUUGAGCAUACAAUGGCUAAAUUAUUUAACUUAAUUUGUGGAAUGCAUUUUUAUUGUUCUCACAUCUAUCAUGAAAGAAAUUCAGUAGCUCACUAAUAUGGAUCCAGUGGUUAACAAUUAAGAACGUUGGGAUGAUCCUCCUAUUUCUGCUUGAAAGAGUCUUUUUGAAUAUUAAAUGAUGUCUUCCCAAAUAUGAGUUCAAGCGACAGAUUUUGUAAUUUUUCUUCUUUUUCAUUUAAUAAAAUAUCCAUGUCAUUGAUUUUUUUAAUAUUAAUUAUUUGGCACAGCAGCUAAUAUUAAAAGCAACUAGAAAAGGACAAAUGCAACGGAUCUUUAAGGAUGGUAAAUUUCCUCAUGGGUUUGGGGCUCAUGGAACCCCACCCCAAAUGGGGUAAAUUUUAAAUAAUUUAUGGGGAAUGAAAAAAUAAUAAUUCUCAAUUUUUUUAUAGAGUAGGGUUUGAUUUUGUACUCCCCAUCCCACGACCAUCCCAAUCCCCAUUAUAUACAAAUUUUUUUUAAUUUUUAUUUUAUCAAUUAUAAUGUUAGUUAAUAAUUUUUUUAAUUUUAACCUAAUAUAAAUGGGAUAUAAAUAAAAGAAAACCCUCUAAUAUAAUUCUUAUUCAACGGUAAAACAUUAUUAUAUUUUCUUUUCUCUCUUAAAGUGCUUCUCUCUUUAAUCAUUUUUUCAGUUUUCAUACCAUUUUUAAGAUAUUGCUUCAAAAAUUUUAGAGAUUUUUUAAAAUAAUUUAAAUACUUUAUAAUAUGGUAAUAAUUUUUAUUUAAGUCUUUAAUUUUAAAUUUACUAAAAUCAUGUAUCUAAAUUUAUUAUAAAACAAGUAAAUGGAGAAUAGGGCGGGAAUGGGAAAAUCAUUCCCCACGUGUGGAUACCCUAACCCCACUCCACUAAAUUUAUUAGGGAAUGGGGUAAGUCUCUCUACCCUCACCUCACCCCAUUGUCAUCCCUACAGAUCUUGUGAUCCCUCUUUUUUAUUUAAUAAAAUUUUUAUAUCACUGAUUUUUUUCUUUUUUUAUUAUUCAUUAUUUCGUACAGCAGCUAUAAUAAAAACAAAUGAAAAAGGAUAAACGCCCCAGAUGUGGUCAUCUCUUCCGUCUUUAUUUUAUAAAAUUUCCAUUUCACUGAUUUUUCCUUUUUUAUUAAUAAUUAUUUCGCACAACAACGUGAUAAAAACAAAUGGAAAAGGACAAAUGCCUUGUAAUUAUUUUCUUUUUAUUCUUUAUAAAAAAAGUAGGGAAGUCGUAAAGUCCAAAUCGAACUUUUAUUUCUAUGACUUAAACUCAAGUGACUAGUUAAAUAAAGUUACUUGAAAACUACUCGGCCAAACGUUCUUGAGACUCCUUAUAAUUCCUUCUUUUCUCUUUUAUUUAAUAAAAUUUCUAUAUAAUUCAUUUUUCUUUUUUGUUAUCUACAUAUAUUUUUUGUAAUGUACAUAUAAUUAUUAUUAUGUGAAAGUAAAUUUAUUAAGACGAGAUUUAUAAAAAUAUAAUGUAUUACAUUGUGGAGUUUAUUUUUAUUUAUAAGUUAUGACAAGCUAAUUGGGACUAUUAUUUUUUAUGACUGUAUGGAAGUUAUUCUUAUAUAGAGUUUCACUUUAUUGUAAUUAAUAUCCAAUAAGCUUUAUACUUGAUUAUAUAAAAUACGAUAAAUUCAUAAUAAAAUAAAAAGUAAUAAGUGGUUGUAGUAAUAUGAUAUUUUAGGCUAUGAUUUAUAAAAUAAGGUUUAUGAAAAAAUAAGGUAUAAUUAUCUUUUUGUUGAAAUAAUCAUGUUAAAAUAAUAACUUUAAGAAUGUGUGGUGGCUUAUUUUAUAAUCUACUUUCAACCGCUACUAAAUGUUGCUGUCAAGAUUAAGAAACUUAUUAAAUAAUUGUAUUUUAAAAAUUUUACUAAAUAUCUUUUUUAUUAAAUUUUAUGAAAUAAUAUAUUUCAACCACAAACCCAACUGUUGGAGAUAUUUAUUUAGACCUGAAGAUUUAUAAAUAAAUAAAUAAAAGAUUGGUUUUCUCUCCUCGAACCUGUUUAUUGGUGGGAGUUUUGGCGCGAGAUCAGUUCUGAUCAAAUCUAAUCUUAUCUAUUUGUUUAUGGGAUUCAAUCAAGUAACUUGCCUCCAUUUCAAAUACUUUAUAACUUUUCUCCUAAAUUAGACUUCCGUCACAUGAUUUUUUAACAAUUUGGUGAUGAUUGGUGAAUGAAGUCGUUGGAGCAGGAGCGGAGUUAGCUGAGGCCUUGGCUUUGAAUUUCUUCUUAAACACGUAUAUACUUAUAUUAAUGGCCAUUUUGAAUGUAUUUGUAUAGAAGCCCAUUAUACAGGCCCCUGAAAUCUUGUUUAUUAAGCUUAAUUUUUGUUUGAAAAGUUCUACUUUAUCCAAACCCACAUUAUAUUUUGUAAAUAGACAUAGGCCCCGUUUAAAAUUGAGGUUGAAAUUUAAUAAACUGCUUAUUUUAUAUUUUUUGAUAAAAAUAGUGUUUGGUAAAUUUUGUAAAAGCAGCUUAUUUCAUAAUUUUCUCCAUUUCAUCAGCAGCUUUUAAAAGCAUGUAUAGAAUUACUUUUCAUAAGCAGCUUAUUCAAUAAGCUACUAUAUCUUUUUAAAAUGCCUAUUAUAACCCUAGUAUUUUAAUAAAAAAAUAAUUAUAUCUUACUUACCCAUAAACCUUAAUAUAUAAAUCAUUAGAUAUUACCGUCACAAUUUAGUUACCGCCACAAUUUAGUAUCACAAUAUUAAUGGCUCUGGAUCCUAAGAAAUAGAAAAUUUGAGGAAUUUUAUUGCAAAAACUUUAUUGUGAAUGUAAUACAUAUUACUUUUUAUUUUAUUUAGAUUAUAAAAAAGUAUAAAUUUUUAUCAUGUUUUAUGGAACAUAUUAUGAAGCUCUUCAGAUUUUUCUUAAUUGAGUUUUUUUACUAUAAUUUUACAUAUUUAAGAAAAAAAUAUGUCUAAACAAUUUAUUAAACAUAAAAUAAAAAGCAAUUACAAUGUAUGUCUAUUUUGGUCAUUAUGUAAUACAACAACACUUGCGUAAUAAGAUUUACCAAACGCAUGUACUCUACUUUUCAAACUCACAGAAACCGUAACAGUACAAUUUAUCAAACACCAAGCUACUUUUUUAAUCAACAGCUUAUUUGAUCUGCACAGCACAAGCAACUUAUUUCAUCAACCUCCGCAAUCUCAAACUGGCCCAUAAUGUCUACUAAAUUUUCAAUAUUGUUCUACCAAACCUUACUGUUUUUGGCUUUUUAUAAACAACCAGUGAGUUUAAAAACAAAAAAAAAAGUGUACGUGUGUGUAUAUAUAUAUAUAUAUAUAUUCUCAAUUUCUUCAAUUUCUUUCUCUUCCCACAACCAGGACCAAGAACUAAAAGUCUUAAAAACAAAAAAAAAAAUAGGAUUUUUUAUGUUUGUAAUAAUUUUUCAUUUCCUCUAAUAAUAAAAAUUUGUUGACAAAUCAUUUUUUAUGAAUAUCAUACUAAGUCCACUUAAGGAAAUGAUCAUGCACACCAUCAAGUUUCCAAAAAGUAGUACCAAAAUAUUUUUCUUUUAAUUAUAAUACAUUUUGAAUAUAUUAUACAAAAAAUUUACUUUAAAUUUUCUAAUAAAUACAAAUGUAAUAUAUAGUCUAUCUAAUUUAAUGAAAACAAAUAUAAUAUAAAUAAUAUAAUUUGUCUAAUAGACUAAUAAUAUUAAAAUAUUUUUAAGAUUCGAAUAUUUUCAAAGUGCAAAUUAGUUAGAGAAUAAAAUGGAUAUAUUGGAGAAAUUUCUACUAAAAUUCAUAGUAAAAUAUUUUAUCUAACUUUGUAAAACUCACCACUAAGAAAGUGUGGGAUGUUUCAUUCUCUCUCUUUAUAGUAUUAUCUAUUACCUUUUCUUUUUGUGAUUUAAAUUAGAUUUUUAUGAUUUGUUUCACAUUAUAGGUUUUGUUUUCUUUGUCCUUUUCUGUUUUUAUAUUUAAAUCCAACAUAAUCACAAGGCUGAGGAUAUGGUGGAGUUGCUCUACUGUAGAGCACUAUCUUAUAAACACAGGAUCAAAGUAAUAAAUAGUAAAAAAAUAAGUUAUUGCUAUGAUUGUAUGGUUAUUAGUAGUGCUUUACAGUAGAGCUAACUCCACCACAGCCAGAUCUAAUGUCGUAAAAAAAUUUAAUAUACUCGCAAGCGCACGAAUGUAGAGAUAGAACAGUGGUAACAAGGUCAAACCCACAGGGAUUGAUAUAAAUUGAAAUGUCUAAUUUAAAUCUAAAAUUAAUAUUAAUCCUAACCUAGUUGAGCAAUUUGAAUUUUAAGAGAAAUUAAACUAAUUAAACUAAGAAAACAAUUAAAGCAAAUGAGAAUUCAAUAAGACAAAAAUUACCAAGGUUUCAUAAUCCACCACUAUUCAACUAGUAAUUAUCUAAUUAUUAAUUAAUCUCCAAUUUAGAGUGACAACUCGAAAUCAAUCUAUAUCAUCUCAUGGAUAUAACAAUUAAGCCCAAAUAAAAUUAAUCUUGUUUACGUUCUUUUUCUACUUAAUAGUAUAAUAUCUAAACAUCCCAUGUAAACAUAUUGAAUAACAAAGAGUCAAAGUUUUCCUAAGCAUUUUGUGUAAAUAAUUUAAUAAAAACACAAAAUCAAAGAUAAUCAUAUAUAAACUUUAUAGAUCCAAGCAUAGAUUUAGUCAAAUAUUAAUCCUAACAAUCAAUAAUGCAUGACAGAAUUGGUGAAAAGAAUUUAAUAACAUUUAACUAAUCAUGUGAAACACGAACCAUAAACAUUAAAGCACAUAUGUAGGGAAUUAAUUAAAUAAAAAGAUAAGUAUUUCAUUGAAUAAGGUUUCAUAUUAUUUCAUUGAAUAAUGUUUCAUCAUUAACCUCAGUAUAAGAAAAUUAGCUAGACAUACUUGAAUAGGAAGCAACAAAUAAAAUAAAACUAGCCAUGGGAAUAUUGAACUGCUGCUGCCGCUAUUUUCUUUUCUGCUCUGCCUUGCGUCUGCUCUCUUUUUUUCUCCUCUAGCCGCCUCCCUCUCAAAAGCCAAAGUCAGCUUUUAUAGUAUUCAAAAUGGGCCCGACCUUUUCAAUUUUAAGGCCAAAAGGCUUGGCCUUUAAUUUGCUUUGCUCUCACACGUGACCACCACUUAGAAUUGCAUUAGGAUUCCUUUUUUCAAUGCCAUGCACAUGUUAACAAUAAUGGCAAUUGCUUCUUGUUAAGGAAGCUCAUCUUGUUUGCUGUACAAAAAGCAAAACAAAAGAUAAAGCAGAGGAUUGCAGCAGCUGCAGCAUACGGUUAAAGGUUGAUGACAUGGCUGUCUAGGUGGCACCAGGUGGUUAUGUAAUUACCAGCACACGUGAAGAUUCGUUUUGAUUAGUUAGUGUUAACAAUGCAUUUGAGUUGUUAUCUUCAGCUUUGUAUAUAAACAAUAAUGUAAUCAUUUUUUGUAUUGAUUUAGAAUGAAUAAAAUGAUAUUCUAGAAUCCUUUGAACUUCAGUUUAUUCUCUCAACUUUCUUUCACUUUCUCAUUAACCAAACAGUCGUUAAAACAAUUUUAACUUGGUAUCAGAGCUAUGUUUAAUUCAGAAAACAAAGAUUGAAACCAGGAAAGUUCUGAACAUGCUGAUGAUAAGGCAUUGUAUUCACUUUCAGUACUGGACUUAGCCACAACCCCUUGCUUUUUAGAUGACCAAGAAAUUAGAUUAUUGCCGAGAUAAAUGCAAUAUGCUCCAAUGGAUUUUCUAUCAUCAACAUCUUGCCUCAUCUUCUAAUACAGUUCAUAAUGCCGCCAUUAAUUCAAGCACAGUUACCUACUUUAGUGCUUUGGUGUGAUAAUCAAAGUGCAGGGGCACUAGCUAGAAAUCUUGUUUUUCACUCUAAGUCCAAGCACAUUGAGUUAGAUGUGCAUUACAUUAGAGAUAAGGUUCUCAGCAAGGAAUUAGAAGUUAGAUAUAUUCCUACUGAAGAGCAAGUGGCUGAAAUUCUCACCAAAUCUUUAUCUUUAUCUCAGUUAAGCUAUUUUCAAUCCAAGCUCAAUGUCAUCAACAGACCAUUGAGCUUGAGGGGGGAUGUUAAGGAAGCUCAUCUUGUUUGCUGUACAAUAAGCAAAACAAAAGAUAAAGCAGAGGAUUGCAUCAACUGCAGCAUACGGUUAAAGGUUGAUGGCAUGGCUGUCCAGAUGGCACCAGGUGGUUAUGUAAUUACCAGCACACGUGAAGAUUCGUUUUGAUUAGUUAGUAUUAACAAUGCAUUUGAGUUGUUAUCUUCAACUUUGUAUAUAAACAAUAAUGUAAUCAUUUUUUGUAUUGAUUUAGAAUGAAUAAAAUGAUAUUCUAGAAUCCUCUGAACUUCAGUUUAUUCUCUCAACUUUCUUUCACUUUCUCAUUAACCAAACAGUCGUUAAAACAAUUUUAACUCUUCUCACGUGAUGCAUCUCUUAUUAAAUCUCAAUAAAUUAAUUCUUUUUAUUUAUUGUCCUUCAAUUGAUUCUCAAUUUAAUCUCCCUUACUUCCUAAAUUGAGUUUUUCCAUGUCUUUUUAUCUAUAAUCUCCAAUUAAUUCCUUAUUUAAUAAAAUAAUUUAAUUAAUUAAAAAUAAUAAAUAAAAAUAACUAACAAUUAUAUAAUUAAGAAUAAAAUAUGUAUAUAUUAUAUGCUCAUCAUCUAAUCACAAUAAUAUGUGACUUGUCGAUUUUGGAUAUCACCAUGUUGUCAAGCGAACAACUGAUUAAGUGGAAAGCAGAGAUCUUUAUAUUGGACAAUUUUUAGAAAACCAUUCAGCCACGGAUCAAUCACGUUAAGGCAAUUUCCUUGAAGUCGAUGAACAUAGCGGGUGUUGAAAAUUGAGAAUUUCAUAUAUAUAUAUAUAUAAUCAUUAUACACACAUACACACACAUACAUACAUACAUAUUUGGCGUUCUUGAUGUGCCUGCAUAACAUUUUACAUAUAUAUAUAUAAUCAUUAUACACACAUACACACACACACACACAUAUAUAUAUAUAUAUAAUGUUCUUUUUAUUAAAUUGUAUCAAUCCAAUUCAAUUGUUGUCUAUUUCCACCUUAGACUCCAUGUCUUUUAAUUUCUGCCAUUUUGUGAAUUGGCGUUCUUGAUGUGCCUGCAUAACAUUUUACAUAUAUAUAUAUAAUCAUUAUACACACAUACACACACACACACACAUAUAUAUAUAUAUAUAAUGUUCUUUUUAUUAAAUUGUAUCAAUCCAAUUCAAUUGUUGUCUAUUUCCACCUUAGACUCCAUGUCUUUUAAUUUCUGCCAUUUUGUGAAUCGGCAUUCUUGAUGUGCCUGCAUAACAUUUUAUAUAUAUAUAUAGUCAUUUUUAGACGCGAGCUCUCGCAUUCUUUAAAAUCUUAAUUUGGGGUUUCACAAUAAUGUCGAAUGCUUUUACAUCAAUUAUAAACAGCUGAAAAAUCAUUUAACAAUGUCCAAAUCUGCAUUUUAAAAAAUGCGAGCACUCACAAUAAAGAAUUAUAUAUAUAUAUAUAGAAGGAAUUUCUUAAAUUACAAAAAUAAGAGAUAAACUAAAAAAAUAAGUAAAAGACUUACCUAAACUAAAAAAAAAGAAGCAAAAGACUUACCUUAAUACGGUAUAUUAAAGUAUGUAUUUUUCUUAUUUUUUAUCCUAUAACUUACUUUAAUAAUUUAAGAUUUCCAUUAUUGAAAUUUAUUAUAAAUUUCUACAUGUGCGUGCGUGUAUGUGAAGAAACACACACUACUAAUUGAAAUUUAUUAAUAACUUAACACACACACACACAGACUUCUAGGCUAAAUCACGUUGAGUGACAAUACAAUUGAGCGUGUGAAGAAACAAUCAAAGGUUCAUUGAUGAAUUAGUUAAUGUGUCAUAAGAACAUUAUCCAAACCUCACGGUCGAAUAAGCCAAUAUGUUUACGCAGUCUCUGGCAUCAGCAAUUUCCCAUUCCUUUUUAUAAAUGACAAACGUGUCCAUCCCCUCAACAUCUAUCCAUUGAGCCAUGGCAUCCGAAGCCAGCCAGUCACAUUUUCUCUUGCUUCCUUUCUUGGCUCCAGGCCACAUGAUUCCCAUGUUUGACACUGCUAGAUUGCUUGCACAGCGUGGAGCUAUUGUUACUAUUGUCACCACCCCAGUUAAUGCAGCAAGGUUUAAAACAGUGCACGCUCGUGCCAUAGAUUCCGGACUGCAAAUCCGACUAAUUGAGAUACAGUUUCCAUGGCAACAAGCAGGAUUACCCGAAGGCUGUGAGAAUUGUGACCUGCUUCCUACAACAGACUUUGCAAGGUUCUUGAAUUCGCUUCACAUGCUUCAGUUGCCUUUUGAAAAUUUGUUCGAAAAGCAAACUCUUAAGCCCUGCUGCAUAAUCUCUGACAUGUGCUUUCCUUGGACGGUGGAUACAGCUGCCAAGUUCAAUGUUCCAAGGAUUAUUUUCCAUGGAUUUUCUUGCUUCUGUCUAUUCUGCCUGCACCUCUUGGGCGUUUCAAAGGUUCACGAGAACGUUACAUCUGAUUCAGAUUACUUUAAUAUACCUGGCUUGCCUGAUCACAUUCAAUUUACUAAAGUUCAAUUACCAAUAUCCGAGCAGGAUGAUGACUUUAAAGAGCUUCAAGAGCAAAUUUUUGCGGCCGAUAAGAAAACAUACGGCACGAUUACAAAUACCUUCGAAGAGCUAGAGUCGCCAUGUAUUGAAGACUACAAAAAAGCAAAACAAGAAAAAGUUUGGUGCAUCGGCCCUGUUUCGCUGUGCAACAAAGAGCCCAUAGACAAGGCUGAGAGAGGUAAAAAAGCAUCA